AUAGAACCUGAGCAGAAUUGAGGCAUGCAGAAUGAGGGCUGGUUUCAGUUUUAAGAGAAGCGUAUGCCAGUGGUUUAUAAGAGCUGAUUGUUACAUUUCCGGAAACUUGGCAAGCCACUUGUUAAACUCUAAGUAGCUUGAAAUUCUCCAGGGUGAGAGUAUGUACAUCAUAGAAACGGCAAACACUACAAAACAGGACUCCUCUUCCCUCAAAAAUGCUUGCAGCAUACGACGAGGGAGUGUCCCUAAAAAGUUGAUCUUGCAAGCUGCAGCUUGAAAUCCAGGACAGUGGGUGAGUGGAGCCAAAGCUGCCUGCAGCUGUAAGAUGUAAUUUGCUUGAGAAAUGAACCUUUGCUUUUAGAAAUCACUGAGUUGUGCGGGUUGUUUGUUACCUCAGCAUAACCCUUCAAAAGCUGGCUGAUACACCAUGCCAGUGUUGCUAAGUUUUAGUGAACACCAAUGAACCCUACCUUUAUCUCUCCAGACCUUGGUUCAGGAGAUUUCUCCUAACUUGUGCCAUCACACACCUUGAACCUGAAAGGAUGCAAACUACACUCAGAGACUCAAGCCUGGGAAUCUGGGUCUUGCAAGGUUAACAGAAAGAUAUAAAACAGUAAUUCCAUUAAAAAAAAAUCACUAAGCUACUGCGUCAUUUUUAAACCUUGGCAAACACAAGGCUGUGGCUUGUGGACCUGGAUCGUUUGGGAGUGAGUGCCAGCCCUUUCAAGGGCAGGUCACAUGUUACCGGCCCUCCUUCCCACCCCAGAAGCAGGNNNNNNNNNNNNNNNNNUGGAGCGCUGUGUCUUUAAGGGGGACACGGCGGAGGUUUCCGCACAGGACAAAAUGUCUGCGAGGAUCCUGGAGGGGAUCGGCGAUCCCAGACUCCCAGCCCACCUCCCGCUUCGGGGGUGAUGGGCACUGCUCUUCAGAAUUCACAAGUCCCACUGCAGUGUUUCUACCUGAGAACUGGGCCUGGCUGGACACCACUAAGGCCCUCAGGACAUGGCCUACCAUCUAAUUUGAAGGUAAAAGUUUAGAAAACUGCUUUGUAUAUUGCUGUUUCCUAAAUGUGCAUAUUUUAAAAAAACACUUGAGUGAUUUCUAGUGCGGCCAGUUUUCCCACAAGCAGUUUUUAAAAUCACAAGAACAAAGAUAUUUUUAUCUUGAAAAAAGUUCUCUCUGAAAGCUUUUUAAAAGGCUGCUCACACAACACUGUAAAUCAACUAUAAGAAAACGGCUUCUCAGCCCUGGCACUUUGGUCCCUAAAGUCUAAGGAGCUAAAAUUUUCAUUCCUAAAACCUUACCCCCACUACUUCCUAAAUCCCCUUCCUUCUGCAACAUUGCAAGAAUUCAGAAGGGAGCUUUGCUCUCAUUCGGAAAAGACAGGUGUUUUUUUUUUUGUUUGUUUUUAAAGUGCAAAGGAGACUAGUUAAAACUAAUUUAUGCAUAUAGCACUAAUUUAGCUUAUUAAAAGAAGCAUGGCUUCCCAAUUUUAGUCUCAGUACUUGUUAGCUGGGGACUCCAGUGAAUUUAGAAGAAACUUCUUAGUUAAGAAAAGAAGGGCCAGAUAUUUUUAACAUAUUUUCCCCUAGAGGAAUCAACAGUUAAUACAUACUGAAAAAGAAAUGCCAGUAUCUACGCCAAUUAACCACAGGAUUUUUAUCUGCAGUAAGAGGGACGCCUGGUUUUUCACAGGCUUACUCUGGUCCUAGAAGUUGUGUGUGGGGGGCGGUGUCCGUGUGCACAUAUAAUUUGGUGGUCGUCUUACCCCGUCUCCCCGGCGUGCAGGCGCUGCCUAGAGAAUGAGGAGCGAC
rnacentral:lncRNA from 1 species